rnacentral:rRNA from 1 species
UACGGAGGGUGCAAACGUUGCUCGGAAUCACUGGGCGUAAAGCGCACGUAGGCGGAUUGCUAAGUCAGGGGUGAAAUCCUGGAGCUCAACUCCAGAACUGCCUUUGAUACUGGCGAUCUUGAGUCCGGGAGAGGUGAGUGGAACUGCGAGUGUAGAGGUGAAAUUCGUAGAUAUUCGCAAGAACACCAGUGGCGAAGGCGGCUCACUGGCCCGGUACUGACGCUGAGGUGCGAAAGCGUGGGGAGCAAACAGG